GUCGAACGGCAGCACGGGGGCAACCCUGGUGGCGAGUGGCGAACGGGUGAGUAAUACAUCGGAACGUGUCCUGUAGUGGGGGAUAGCCCGGCGAAAGCCGGAUUAAUACCGCAUACGCUCUGCGGAGGAAAGCGGGGGAUCCUUCGGGACCUCGCGCUACAGGGGCGGCCGAUGGCAGAUUAGCUAGUUGGUGGGGUAAAGGCCUACCAAGGCGACGAUCUGUAGCUGGUCUGAGAGGACGACCAGCCACACUGGGACUGAGACACGGCCCAGACUCCUACGGGAGGCAGCAGUGGGGAAUUUUGGACAAUGGGCGCAAGCCUGAUCCAGCAAUGCCGCGUGUGUGAAGAAGGCCUUCGGGUUGUAAAGCACUUUUGUCCGGAAAGAAAACCUCGUGGUUAAUACCCGUGGGGGAUGACGGUACCGGAAGAAUAAGCACCGGCUAACUACGUGCCAGCAGCCGCGGUAAUACGUAGGGUGCGAGCGUUAAUCGGAAUUACUGGGCGUAAAGCGUGCGCAGGCGGUUCGCUAAGACAGAUGUGAAAUCCCCGGGCUUAACCUGGGAACUGCAUUUGUGACUGGCGGGCUAGAGUAUGGCAGAGGGGGGUAGAAUUCCACGUGUAGCAGUGAAAUGCGUAGAGAUGUGGAGGAAUACCGAUGGCGAAGGCAGCCCCCUGGGCCAAUACUGACGCUCAUGCACGAA
rnacentral:rRNA from 1 species